UACAGAGGGUGCAAGCGUUAAUCGGAAUUACUGGGCGUAAAGCGCGCGUAGGCGGCUUUGUAAGUCAGAGGUGAAAUCCCGGGGCUCAACUCCGGAACUGCCUUUGAAACUGCAUCGCUUGAAUCCGGGAGAGGUGAGUGGAAUUCCGAGUGUAGAGGUGAAAUUCGUAGAUAUUCGGAAGAACACCAGUGGCGAAGGCGGCUCACUGGACCGGCAUUGACGCGUGAGGUGCGAAAAGCGGUGGGGGA
rnacentral:rRNA from 1 species